rnacentral:tRNA from 1 species
UGGAGAUGUAGCUCAGUGGUAGAGCACUUGCUUACCAUGUUUGAUACCCUGAGUUUAAUCCCCAGCACUGCAA